GUACAUAGGUACCUAUACAUAUUUUUGACAUUUUGUUCGUGGCAAUAUUUAAUACCUUGACUUGUAACUUAAGCGUAGCAACUAAUAUAAUAAUUGUCUACCUGCGACCUUGAGUUGGUGGAAUAUUUUUAAAGACUGCAUGUUAAUACAGGAAAAUAUUUUAUACCAAAGUCACGAUGUUGUAGAUACAUAAUCAAUUCUUAUAAGUAAGAUCAUUCUCGCUGACCUGUUGACCACACAAGUCGCAUCCGUCAUGGCUCGUUUUGUUUUUCUUUUAUGCUGUAUAAUUUCUAUGGCGAUAGCCACAUCACCCGAUAGCAAUGAUAAGCAAUGCAUUAAGCCGCACGAAAGAUGGACGAACUGCUACAUCGGUGAAUGUGCGCCUAUCACAUGUGGACACCUGGGCAAACCACUGGCAUGUCCCGCUAUAGCACCGCCUUGCGCGGGUGGCUGUAUUUGCAAACAAGGCUUUGUGAGAAACCAGAAUGAAGAUUGUAUAAAUGCCAAGACAUGCCCAAACUGUGGCGGCGAUCCUAAUGCACAAGCUGGCUGUGGCAAUUCUUGUAGACCUACUUGUACAAACCCAGCUGGCAUACCUGCAACGGAAUGUACCACAUCCUGUAACUUUAAUGGCUGUGACUGCAAGGAGGGGUACAUACUGAACACAGAUAAAAACCCACCGAUAUGCGUUCUCCCUAAGGAUUGUAAACAGUAAUCCUUUAACUCGUCAACUCAAUAAACAAGCAGACCAAUAAACAAGAAUGACGAAUGACAUUUCUAUCAUGUUAUUUAGUUAUCGUGGGUCUCGUCUGCGCCAAAUACAUGUACGGACAAAUACGAGCGAAAUGCACGAUAACAGAUGACAUCAGUGUACAGUCAGCGUCAAAUACUUUGUAGCAGUCAAAGUGGCCAAAUAGUUCGGUACACCAUACUAAAUAUAUGGUGUACCGAACUAUUUGGCUACUUUGGUUGCUACAAAGUAUUUGAUGCUAACUGUACAUUCAUUCUGAUAUCUGUGUACGUUCGAAUUGGUCUGAAGGUCGAGUUCCAAAGAAAAACACGUUUGCAUAUGAUAAGACUUCUUUAUGUAUAACAUUCUGUCCAGUAAUGUAUGUGGAUAUUUUAGGUAACCCGGUAUAAAUAUUAUGUGUCAAAUACUAUAUUUUUAAAUAUUUAGCCAUUAUAUUCCAUGUACAAUAAAUUAAUUUUCAACACUAAAUUUGCCUUUCCUUUCUGGAUUCUCCUAUGACUAAAAUCCUGCUUACUGUGGGGCUUAGUCAAUUUGUGUGAUAAUGUCCUAUAAUAUUUAUUUAUUUCAAUCCAUCCUGAUUUACAUUUAUUUCACAACUUUGGGAAUCGACGUACAAAGUGCUGCGAAGGUAAGUACAACUUUUUAACCCCCUUUCAAUGACUGCCUAUAUGUCUGUCUGUGGCAUCGUAGCUCUCCAACGGAUGGGCCGAUUUCGAUGCGGUUUUUUAAACGAAAAGCGAAUUGGCUUACAGUGGUUAAGGAGCUUAUUAGAAAUGUAUUACAUAUAAGGCAUUAUUACCAUGAGAUGGAUUUUGCUGGCAUAGCGUAGGGCGCCUCAAUUUACCCAUGAGUAUUUACUCACUACCCAUCUCUAGGCGGGAGAGGAGCUGUGAAGUGCGGAUUCCGGCCACAGCUGCAUUACUGUCACACACCUUUAUAAUGUUUUUCGCUCGCGUCCGUACCUCGCAACACAUCCCUCGCAAAACAUUCCUCGCUCGUAUCCUUCACUUGUUUGUAUGUACGAAAACCUCGCUCCGCUGAGCCGUUUCCACUAGAGCUACGCUGAGCUCGGAUAGGUAAAUGUACAGUUUCAUUGCUUCAUGACAAACACAUCCCUCGCUAUGCAUCCUGGUACAGAUUUAAUGGAAACGCAGCCUAAAAUAAUUAAGUCGCUUAUUCAUUAGGACCUUAGAUACGAACAAUAUUUUUGAAGAUUGCACACUAAUAGGUACAAAAGUCACAACGAAUAAUCACGUCUUAUUUUACGUAGGUAGGCAAGUUAAUUCUCGCCGACCUGUUGACCGCGCAAGUCGCGUCCGAGGACAUGGAUCGUAUUAUUUAUCGUUUAUGUUUUAUAAUUUAUUUGGCAACAGCCACAACAUCUGAUAAAAAUGCCAAGCAAUGUACUAAGCCCCACGAAAUAUGGACGGACUGCUACAUCGGAGUAUGUGGGCCUAUCACAUGUGACGACCUGGGCAAACUAAUCGGAUGCCCCAGUGUAGAGCCGCCUUGUGAUGGCGGCUGUAUUUGCAGAGAAGGCUUUGUGAGGAAUGAGAAAGACGAUUGUAUAGAUGCCAAGUUAUGCCCAAGCUGUGGCGGAGAUCCAAAUGCACAAGCUGGCUGUGGCGAUUCUUGCAGACCAACUUGUGCAAACCCAGCUGGCAUACCUACAAUGGAGUGUAUCAAAUAUUGUCCAUUUAAUCGCUGUGACUGCAAAGAAGGGUACAUCUUGAACACAGAUGUUCAACCACCAAGAUGCGUUCUCCCUAAGGAUUGUAAAAAAUAACGUUUAUCACUCGUCUAUAAAAGGCAAGGCAAGAAUCAGAAGUUACCUAGUUUGUUGGCAACCUCCCUAGUCUCGCUAUUGAUGUUUAGUUUAUUUGUAAUUUGUAUGGUCACUCUUACAACAUCAUCAACAUCAUGUAUAUAUAAAAAGUAUGUAUAUAAAUUAAAUAAAUACCAAAAUA